rnacentral:rRNA from 1 species
AUUGCAGGCUGCAACUCGCCUGCAUGAAGUCGGAAUUGCUAGUAAUCGUAGGUCAGCAUACUACGGUGAAUACGUUCCCGGGCCUUGUACACACCGCCCGUCAAACCAUGAGAGUUGGCAACACCCGAAGUCGGUAGUCUAACCGCAAGGAGGACGCCGCCGAAGGUGGGGUCGAUGAUUAGGGUUAAGUCGUAACAAGGUAUC